AUUGAACGCUGGCGGCAUGCCUAACACAUGCAAGUCGAACGGCAGCAUGAUGUGUAGCAAUACACAUUGAUGGCGAGUGGCGGACGGGUGAGUAAUACGUAGGUAUCUUCCUCAAAGCGGGGGAUAACCCGGGGAAACUCGGGCUAAUACCGCAUAAUCUCUACGGAGCAAAGCAGGGGACCGUAAGGCCUUGCACUUUGAGAUGAGCCUACGUCGGAUUAGCUAGUUGGUGAGGUAAAAGCUUACCAAGGUGACGAUCCGUAGCUGGUCUGAGAGGACGGCCAGCCACACUGGGACUGAGACACGGCCCAGACUCCUACGGGAGGCAGCAGGGGGAAAUAUUGGAGAAUGGGGGCAACCCUGAUCCAGCAAUGCCGCGUGUGUGAAGAAGGCCUUCGGGUUGUAAAGCACUUUUAGUGGGCAAGAAAAGUUUGAGGUUUAUACCCUCAAAUGUUGACGUUACCCAAAGAAAAAGCACCGGCUAACUCUGUGCCAGCAGCCGCCGUAACAC
rnacentral:rRNA from 1 species